GAAAGAACUUUUUCCAUCAAUUUGAAAAGUAAAGUAAAAGACAGAAAGAAACAGAGAGAUUAAAUGUUUUUCCCUUAUUUUGUAUAUUGUGGGCAGUGCCAUUUAUCUUAGCUAUGUUAAUAAACACUGGAUUUUCAGAAGGUUUAUGCUUCAUCCUUGCUUUAUGCUGUAAUGUAGCCACACAGAAUGUCUCUUUAUGUUGACUGAAGUUAAUAUAUGCAUCUUACCUUUUAAUAUUGCAUCAACUAUAGUCAUAGUGGUGGAAAAUAAUAAUGCUCUGUGUUCUGCACUAUGGUGGAUGUUUUAUAAACAGUAUCUGCAAUUAUUACAAACUCCUAUUAGAGAGCUAUGUCUAACCUUAUUUUACAUGUAAGACAUAGAAAUUCGAAGUUCCCAGAAUCAGUGAGUAGUAGAUUUGAACUGAGUUUUAACACAACUCUAAAGCCCAAGCCUGGCCUCCUUCCGCUGCGCAAUUCUCCUCCAGAGGGAAAGGCUAGCACCAUCCCUAAGAGGGGCCGAAAGUCUUCUAAGGGCACCUGAACCAUUGUGAAGAAUUGUGUUAAUAACCCAGUAAUUCACACUUGUUCAAAUUUUCAGACAUUUCCUGGGAUGCAGUCAAAACUUUUAGGAGUCUGAAGCCUGAGGCUGCCUGCUCUCUGCUGCUGAUUAUAGAGCUCUCUAGUUGAUGAGUGGUGUCCUGGAGCUCCCUGGCCAUACAUACACAGUGCUCAUGGGUCGACUGUAUGGCACCAGCCUCUGCUGCUCUACCCUUUUCAGCCUUUUUUUCUGGAAUGCAUGCUGAGGUCCUCCUUGUGCCUUUGAAAUUUUUAUGAAGAGGGUGAUUAUUUUUGGUACAGCAAAAUAUGUAGAAUUUGCACUUCUUAGGAAUUAAACAUCUCAAUUUUUUUCCCCCAGAGAAAAUAACUCUUGAGCAAGGGAACACUCAUCUCACCGCUCAGACUUUGAGGUGGCCCUACAUGUAUACAAGUUUGGGGGAACAUGAGAAUUCCAAUUAAAUUCUGGGAAAUCCAGACAUAUAUUCAACAAGUAUUUAUUAUGUGCCAGGCGUUAUUUUGAGUGCUAGAAAUAUAAUGGCAAAUAAAACGAAAAGAACCCUGAUCCUGAUGGAGUGUGCGUCUAAUGAGAAAAAUAUACAAUAAGGACAUAAGCAAAUAAAUUCAUAAUAUAGCAUCAGAGGCGAUAAACAGUAGAAGGAAAAGUACGUCAGUGUAAGGCACAGAGAGCUCCCGGGGGCAGAGUGUUUUCAUUAGGUGGUCAGAGAAUAUCUUGUUUUUUUGUGAGCAGCUUCAGCCAAAGUAAGUAAUCAAGAAUUAUACUUGAAACGAUUGGUUUCCAGAUGUUAAGUAUAACAAAUAUUAAAAUUCCUCGGUCUAACACCCUACUCAUCUUCCAGCUGCUUUAAUUAGAGUAGUUUCUAUUUGUUCUACAAAUAGGGCUUCCUUGUAAAAUUUUCUUUGGAGAUGGGUUUCAUAUCUGAGAGCACUGCCUCAGACCAAAUAAAUAUUAACACAGGAGGAAGCUGAGCGUCAAAGGGAAGCAGUAACUUGGCCAAGGAUGCCAGUGCUCCCAGUGGCCAAGGGAAACCCAGGCUGCGGUCCUCUCUGUCCAAGCUCUGUCCUCGGCCCUCAGGUCCUGGCCUCCAGCACUGAGAGCAACACAGAGUGCCUGUGAGGCGGUCUAACUUCUGCUGACUGGUGAAGGUGGAUCCCCCAGCCCCAGGAAAAGUCAACCAGCAGCUUGAACAGCGCUUCCCUCGCGGAGGCUCAGCACUCAGCUCAUCCCCCGCCAUCGGGCUGUAAUUCAGGUGCCAGCGUUGCUCCUCCAGCAGGAACAUAAGCCCAAACUUAACAAAUUCCUAAAGCAGAACAAAGAAAGUGUCAGAGGGGAAUGGGCACGGAGCCUGUGGACCGCACUAGAAUCUUCUAAUUCUUAGGAAUGCAGAUCGCCCUGUGUAAGGGGCCGCUCAGAGCGCCCGAGGAGCGCCGGUGGCCUCCCUUGGAUGCUUCGCUAUUCAUCCCACCUUCUGGAAGAGGCUAUUCUUUUGUGGCUGUCUUGGUGUUUGGCUGAGUUGUUAUUGAAUUCCUCCCUGACUUCUUUUUUUUUUCCUUCGGAAGACAGAAGAAAAGAAGCCGGCAGUGGAAGUCUUCUCUGGGAAGCCUCCUCCUCCUGCAUCUGGCUGCUCCCUUUGGGGCAGCCUGGUCCGCCUCUCUGGGCGCCAGGUGCGUCUGCAGCGCUCUCCUGGAGGCCGGCUGCAGGUUCAUUAGUGCUCACAAUAGGCACGCAGCGCAGGGGAAUAUGUAAAGAAAGUGGAGGACAUCGGAGUGGCAUUCAAAGCGGCAGGCGGGAGUAGGAGUUUCCCUAGCUUUUCUUCCUUUGUUUCUAAUCACCUUUUCUGUUUCUUCAGAGAGGAUGCUAAUAGAGUGAAUACCUGGGCGUUCCAGGAGAAGAGUUAGUGGAGGUUUCAGAAAAGGAAAUGCAAUCUGGGACGAAAAAUAGCUUUUCUUCCCCUUGGGGUGUGUGUGUGUAGUGUCUGAAUGCUUUGCCACCGAUGAGGCCGAGGACUAAAAGCAGGAUAAAGGCUGUGAUUGGCACAGAAGACCCCUGGUGAAAUUUCUGGCUCAGGUACUAGCUUUCUGUGAGUCCUGUGCAAUUCGGCACAGCCCUUGGGGCUUUGAGUCCUUUUUUUUUUUUUUUUUUUAAUAAAAUAAGAGACUUGGCUAAUAGGAUUUCUAGCCUACCACUCCUUUACAGUUUUAAGAUAUCAUUUUAAAAAGUUACAUUUCAAGACUGUAGUAAGGAGGUGACAUUAUAUACUUAAACAUAAAAAUGUGGAGUGAUUUGAAGAGCACUGAAAUUAUUCCACUCUUCAAAGUAUAUGCAUUUAUGUAUACAUACAUGUACAUACACGUGUACAUAAACAAACAUAUACAUAUAGUCAUUUUCAGAUGCCUGAAAUUCUGUCCUUAAAGACAGUUGUGAAUCCCAGUUCUAUUAGUAUUUGACUGUGACCCUCUUAGUUUUGCCUACUGUCUGCAAGACUCAAUUUUUCUUUUUUUCCUCAUAAUGGGAAUAAAUAUUGUCUGUCUUCUAACUGUGUUAUGAUAUUUAAAUGAGGAAAUGUGUUGAAUGGUAGUUCUUCUUGUCUGAAAGAUAAGAAUACAUGGGUGCCAUCAUCCAAUCUCAAAGUCAUUGGGUUUUGACAGAAAUGGUAUGAUGGGUAAUUAUCCCAUUUCUCCAAAGUCAUUAGGAACCUGAAGUAAUUUUUUUAAACUUGUUUUUCAUGCACCUGUGUUGGCUAGAUCACAGAGCCUGGGCCCAUCCUCUUGAGGAAAUAUUAUCUGCGUCAACCUUCCUCAAUGCCUCCUGGAUGACUUUACCACCAUCUUGCAAAUGUCUAUUAUUUGUUAGCUCUAGAAGACUCAGAGCAAUGAUUGCACCAAUCUGAAGGUUAUUUCUUCCAUGCUGGUCUUCUGCCAUUGGUGAUAUUACAGAUGUUUGUCCAGAACAUUACUGAUGACAGCUACACACCUGGAAAAUAAAGUUUCUUGUUUGUUCCUUCCAAAUUAAUUUUCUGAAUGAACACCAGCAACUCAAAAUGCAUUCAGUUUCAGAAUUCAAAGAACAGAAGAGCAAAUUUGAGGGACACUCUGGCACAGUAGAGGGAAAGUGCUGCAGAGCAGAGAAGCAAUUCUCAACAAGACAAAGCUACUAUAAUAGCGACUUGUGGAGUCACGUUAAGAAGAAAAUAGGCAGAGAAGUGGACUCUUGACGGGAGUCUCAUCCAUCAUUUCCUCUCUGUGCAACCUCAGGCAGGGUACAUAAUCGAUCUAACUUUUAGUUUUCUCUUAUGUAAUCUGGAGAUAAUAACAUAUAUUUUAUAUAAUUAUUGUGAGUAUUAAAUACCAAAACCCCUUUAUGUCACAUGUUUAGCAUAGUGUCUAUAUCACAGUAUGUGCGUCAUAUGAAACUCAGUGCUUUGUACCCGCUGAUUCCUGGUGAAUGAAAUACGGUCACACAUCACAAUGACUGUCUGCUGAAAUGCCAAAAUCCUGCCUGUAGUUCAGGAACCAGAGUAAAGGAAAAUGAACCCUGUAGUGUUUUUACUUUUUCUCUCUUUUUAGAGAAAGAUCAUUUGCAUGUGGCUCCACCUUAAUAAUUGCAUUUGUAAUGCUUUCAUGUUGUCACAUGGUCUAACCCCCAGGAUCUUAUCUUAAUAAAAAUUCAGUUAAACAUGUGUUCAAAUUGGCCAGAUCAGCCAAAUCUGGAACAGGGAAAGUUGUUUUCCUCCUAAUGAACUGUCCCCUGGACACGGGCAGUGCCACAGAAGUUCAGGAAUAUUUAUUGUCCAUGGCAUUUCCAGGAGUUACACUCUUUGUUGAACCCUUCCAUCGUGCCAGGGGGAGGCUGGUGAUUCAUUAAUUCACUGUGAUGAUUUGUCCUAAUUAUUCUAAUUACUGCCUUGUCUCCUCAGACCAGCUGGUGCCUAAAGCAGAGGGAAAGUCACCAGUCAUGAGGACUGCGGUGGUGGCUGCAGAAUCCCGGGCACUGGAUCUGUAGGAUUCACUGUCACCACAUCAAAAAAGCUUUGCUGCUGCUGCUGCUGCUGCUGCUGCUGCUGCUGUUGCUGCUGCUGCUGCUGUUGCUGCUGCUGCUGCUGCUGCUGCUGAGCCCAACUUAUCCUUGGUGCUGCUCUGGCCUGAGUCCGGGUUCCCGGGGCCCUGCCAUGCAUGCAUUCUCUCCUCUGCUCCUCUUGUACCUUUUCAGGGAGAGAAGAGCCCUGAUACAGGUUGCUUUUCUGUCUUCCCAGCUUGCUGCCCCACCAAUUCCAGACAGCAUCUGCUGUGUGUUCUUUGUGCACCCAUCCCUGUCUGAACGUAUCUUAAACCCAGUCUGGUUUCUAACAACUGUCGAUAAUAAAAAUAUCUAUUUCUUACUGCACACUAUCAAGUGCCAAGAUGGAUGUUCAUUGCCAUAUGUGCACUGUCUCUAAGUGCUACAGUUUGCAGUCUUAGUUCAUAUAUUAAGGCUCUGCAUGACCUAGAGACUAGUUUACAUUGCCCAGCAAGGGAGUAACACAUGGAACUGAAUCCCAGAUUGCUGCAUCCCCAAAGUCGGGGGGCCCUUUAUGCGUCUCUCUUUUCCCCUCCCACAAGCCUUCCUGGUCAUCUACAGGACUCCUGCUGAAACCUUCCUUCGGUCUUUUAUCCCUGAGCUCCUUUGCUGUGAUAACAUAGACUGUUCUGUCUGGCAGCCCUGGGCAGUCAUCAGUGUUGGCUUUGCAGGUCAGCUUGGGGUCCCCAACCAGGAUUCCUGAGGCCACAGAAUCUUGCUGCAAACACAGCUAGUCUUGGAGAACUCAUAUCUGUGCCUUUCUGAUGUGCUGUAUCACCCCAGCCUGCCCUGUGUUUCUUUGGGAUAUUUUCACAGCUCAUACUUCAGUGGUAUUUGCCUCUUAAGUCACUUACCCCUUAUUACUCUGAACAAAACUGGAAUCCGAAAAAAACAAAAACAAAAACAAACAAACAAAAAACACUGGAACUGUGGCUCAUCUCUCAGGGAAUGAGCUGACACUUAGUAGAAUCUAUGACAUGAGGGCUAUGUUAGAGACCCUGAAAUGAAGCUGGGUGAAAAAUAUCAAGGUGUUGUGAGUGACAAAGAUGAUAUUCCAAAGAUUCAACUGAGAAAGAGUCAGUGUAUCUUAUUAUUAAAAUUGCUUCUGUAAGAGUCA